CGCGGUAAAGUUGCAGCGUCCGUACACGUGAGGGUUACAGGGCAUGAGUGGGAGCGGACGCCAGGCGAGAUUAUGCGGGUCAAAGAGGUAAGGGGACGAGAUGGAAGGGUCCUGAGGGAAUAUACACAGGAGAUGACUGAGAUGGUGGAGGUGAUGGCGGAAGGAAAUUAGGGUUUUGGAGGAGAGGAAGGCGUACCAUGCCUUACAAGUGCAUUUGAUACGAGAAUGGUGAGAGUAAGGGACCAUGGAGAGAAUUUGGGCUGCGAUGUCGUUUGGGAGACCGGGAAUUAGAGUCACAGUCUCGUCGAUUGACAGCAGUUGCGGAGACGCCGAAUAUGAAGAAGACAAGGACGGAAAUUGAUCCAUUUCUAUUCUUCUUCAAUUUAGAUAAAAUCAAAAUCAAUCAAAUCAAGCCAAGGCAUACACAUCUAUCUCCCACCAGCCUCCCAAUCUGAACAUCUAUUCACUAUACACAAGC
rnacentral:misc_RNA from 1 species